rnacentral:rRNA from 1 species
CUCAGUAACGAAGCUAACGCGUGAAGUUGACCGCCUGGGGAGUACGGCCGCAAGGUUAAAACUCAAAGGAAUUGACGGGGACCCGCACAAGCGGUGGAUGAUGUGGUUUAAUUCGAUGCAACGCGAAAAACCUUACCCACCUUUGACAUGUACGGAAGAUCGCAGAGACGCGAUUGUGCUCGAAAGAGAGCCGUAACACAGGUGCUGCAUGGCUGUCGUCAGCUCGUGUCGUGAGAUGUUGGGUUAAGUCCCGCAACGAGCGCAACCCUUGCCAUUAGUUGCUACAUUCAGUUGAGCACUCUAAUGGGACUGCCGGUGACAAACCGGAGGAAGGUGGGGAUGACGUCAAGUCCUCAUGGCCCUUAUAGGUGGGGCUACACACGUCAUACAAUGGCUGGUACAAAGGGUUGCCAACCCGCGAGGGGGAGCUAAUCCCAUAAAGCCAGUCGUAGUCCGGAUCGCAGUCUGCAACUCGACUGCGUGAAGUCGGAAUCGCUAGUAAUCGUGGAUCAGAAUGUCACGGUGAAUA